GCCUCUGGGAAGUGUUAUCCUGCGCCUAACGGACCAGGGCUCGUGCUGCCCUCGCCACGGCGGGCGCUGACUUCAGUGGCCCCCUUACCUCGGGCCGCACCGCCGGUGCCACCUGGGCGGCGUUGAGGUGUGGGACUGGGGCCUGUGUCCGCGGGCUCGGUGGUUCUCCGGGUAUUAAGGAUUUAUUCAUUUAUCCAUCACCACCGUGACAGGAAUAAUUAUAGAUGCUUGGGAUAUAACAUUGGACAAGAAAGACAAACUCUCUGCUGUCAUGGUACUUACAUUGUUGUGGGCCAGAUAAUAAAUGAGCUCUGCCUUCUCAGGCCCAGUCCAUUCCCAGAAAGAAGAGGAAAUGACUGACUCCCAGAACAUCUAAGAUGGAUGACUUCAGAUUGAGUGGGAGUAUGUUACAGGAAACAGUGACAUUCAAAGAUGUGGCUAUUGACUUCACUCAGGAAGAGUGGCAGCAAUUGGAUCCUGCUCAGAGGAACCUGUACCGGAAUGUGAUGCUAGAAAACUAUAACAACUUAAUCACAGUGGGAUGUCCAUUCACCAAACCUGAUGUGAUUUUCAAGUUGGAGCAAGAAGAAGAACCAUGGGUGGUGGAGGAAGAAGUGUUAAAGAGACAUUGUCCAGGAGAAAUACGGGGAAUUGAUGAGCAUCAGAAAAUCCAGGACAGACUUUUGACACAACUUGAAGGUAAAUUCACAAAAACACUGACUGAAGAAAAAGUCAAUGCAUGUCAUAAGAAAUUUGCAAAUGCAUUUCCUCCAGACUCAGACUUUUUCCCUUCCAGUCACAAUCUCUAUGAAUAUGACUUAUUUGGAAAGUAUUUCGACUAUCAUAAUAAUGAGAGAAUCCUUAUAAGAAAAGAAAAUUGUGAAUAUAAUGAGCCUAUGAAAUCAUUUGGCAGUACAUUAUCCCAUUUUGUAGUAACCCCUUUUAAGUGUAAUCAUUGUGGAAAAGGUUUCGAUCAAACCUUGGACCUCAUCAGACACCUGAGAAUUCAUACUGGAGAGAAACCCUAUGAAUGUAAAAAAUGUAGAAAAGCCUUCAGCCACAAGGAAAAACUCAUUAAACAUCAUAAAAUUCACAGUAGAGAGCAGUCUUAUGAAUGUAAUGAAUGUGGGAAAGCUUUCAUUAAAAUGUCAAAUCUCAUUAGACAUCAAAGAAUCCAUACUGGAGAGAAACCUUAUGCAUGUAAGGAAUGUGGGAAAUCCUUCAGCCAGAAAUCAAAUCUCAUUGAUCACGAAAAAAUUCAUACUGGAGAGAAACCUUAUGAAUGUAAUGAGUGUGGAAAAGCAUUCAGCCAGAAGCAAAGCCUCAUUGCACAUCAGAAAGUUCAUACUGGUGAGAAACCUUAUGCAUGUAAUGAAUGUGGUAAAGCCUUCCCUCGAAUAGCAUCUCUUGCUCUUCAUAUGAGAAGUCAUACAGGAGAGAAACCUUAUAAAUGUGAUAAAUGUGGAAAAGCCUUCUCUCAGUUUUCCAUGCUUAUUAUACAUGUAAGAAUUCAUACAGGUGAGAAACCCUAUGAAUGCAAUGAAUGUGGAAAAUCCUUCUCUCAAAGCUCAGCCCUUACUGUACAUAUGAGAAGUCAUACUGGUGAGAAACCUUAUGAAUGCAAGGAAUGUAGAAAAGCCUUCAGCCACAAGAAGAACUUCAUUACACAUCAGAAGAUUCAUACUAGAGAGAAACCUUAUGAAUGUAAUGAAUGUGGGAAAGCUUUCAUUCAGAUGUCAAAUCUCGUUAGACACCAGAGAAUUCACACUGGAGAAAAACCUUAUGUAUGUAAGGAAUGUGGCAAAGCCUUUAGCCAGAAAUCAAAUCUCAUUGCUCAUGAAAAAAUUCAUUCUGGAGAGAAACCCUAUGAAUGUAAUGAAUGUGGUAAAGCCUUCAGCCAAAAGCAAAACUUUAUUACGCAUCAGAAAGUUCACACUGGAGAGAAACCUUAUGAUUGUAAUGAAUGUGGUAAAGCCUUCUCUCAGAUUGCUUCCCUUACUCUUCAUCUGAGAAGUCACACAGGGGAAAAGCCUUAUGAAUGUGAUAAAUGUGGGAAAGCCUUCUCUCAGUGCUCAUUGCUUAACUUACAUAUGAGAAGUCAUACAGGUGAGAAGCCCUAUGUAUGUAAUGAAUGUGGGAAAGCUUUCUCUCAAAGAACUUCGCUUAUUGUGCACAUGAGAGGUCAUACAGGUGAGAAACCUUAUGAAUGUAAUAAGUGUGGAAAAGCCUUCUCCCAAAGCUCCUCCCUUACUAUACAUAUACGAGGUCAUACAGGUGAGAAACCCUUUGACUGUAGUAAAUGUGGAAAAGCCUUUUCUCAAAUCUCAUCUCUUACACUUCAUAUGAGAAAACAUACAGGUGAGAAGCCUUAUCAUUGUAAUGAGUGUGGUAAGGCUUUCAGCCAGAAGUCACACCUUGUUAGACACCAGAGAAUUCAUACUCAUUAGAAAUAGAAACCCUGUGAAUCUCAUGAAUAUGGAAAAGCCUUCAGAAGGAAUUAGCACCUCCUUGUGCAUUAUGUAAUUGGAUCUAGAGCAGAAAACUGUGAAUGUGGGAAAGCCUUUUGAAGAAGUCACACAUUUGUGAAACAUGAGAAUCUUACCAAGGUGACAAAUUGUAUUGUGAAAAGAUGAUCAUCAAAAAUCUUCAGCAGACAUCUUACCUAAUGAUAACAUUUACCCAGCAUUCUCAUUAAUAUCUGAAACAGGAUAUUUGCUAUUAGUAUGUCUACAUGCUACUUGAGCUUCUAGCCAAUAUCUUAAGCAAGAAAAAGAAGAUUGGAGAAAAAAAGAAACUAUAAAAAUAACCUUUUAUAUGAGAAUAGUUAAUUAGAAAAUGUUGAUAUAAAAUAUCUAAGAAUAAAUAAUGAAUUAUAAGACAUAUAAAGUUACACAACAUUUUGAAGGGCACAAAAGAACACCUGAAAAUUUGAGAAAAAUAGCAUUGUCUGAAAAGACUUGAGAUUGUAAAAAUAUAUAUAUAUAUAUAUAUAAAAUUUCUCACAAAUCUCUAUGUUUAAAGUACAUCCACUCAAAAUUUUUACCAGUUAUAUUUUAAAAAUUUCACAAACUGAAUCAAAAUUUUACAUAGGGAGUUAAAGGACCACUAAUGGCUUAAAAAAAUGUGAAAGCAAAAGAAAAGACAGACUACUAGAUAUCAUCAUAUAUUUAUUUAAAGCUGCUGCCACUUGAACAGUGUGUUCUUGAUGAGUAAAUAAAUCAGUGGAAACAAACUGGGGACUGGAGGAAGGAGAUACAGGAAUUAUGUGUACUAUAGUGUUAUUGAAACCACUGGGAAAAGGAUGGCCUAUUCAAUAAAUGGAAGAUUCAACAAAAAAUGUUAGCUCUCUACUUUAUACCAUAUACAAAAAUAAAACCCAAACAGAUUGAAGACAAUAUAAAAUAUAAAAUUUUAUAACUAUGAUAAAAUAGAAUAGACUAUAUUUCUUACUUUAGAGUGACAGGACUUCUUUAAAAACACAUAAAUACGGAACAUUCAAUUCUAUUUUGGUGUAUUGGCUUUAGAAGCACCACAUUUGUGCACAGAGAUACAUGUAUCUCGCUGUGUUCGCUGCAUCAUGGUUUGUAUUUACUUUAAAUUGGACAGAACAAACAUUUCCAUUAGUAGAGAGAUAGGUCAAUACAAGAUGAUUAUUUCUAUGAAAACACCACAAAGAUACAAAUUUGAUAUAUCACUACAUUGAUACAUAAUAUUGAGAGAAAAAAGCAAAUGUACAAUGAAGCAUGGUGUAACAGUUCUAUAAAUUUAAUAUAACAGUGCAAAGUACAGUACUGUGUAUUGAUCUUGAAUACAUAUGUGACAUUGGUUGACUUUUAGGCAUUGGAAGGAGUUUUAUUUAUCUGUAAUAUUUCUUUAAUAAAGAAUGAAAGUGGAUAUGGCAGCAGUAACAAGUCUGGUUGUCAAAAUUAUGUUGUGGUUUUUUGAAAAAAUUCUUUAUUGUUUCUCUAAAAUAAGAAAUAGGUAGAAAAAACCUGUACCUAUAGAAACAAUUUUUAAAUAGAUUGUUACUUUGAUCAGAUACUAACAUUUACAGAAAAUUAUCUUUAAUAAUACAUAAACCAAACCUGAAUUAAAUAAUACUCUCGCUUCAUAAUGUUAAUUAGGAUAAUACAAUUAGGAUAAUACAAAUCAGAAGCGUAUAACAUUUGUUUGAGGUCAAUUUUUAGAUUUCUCACUUUUAUCUCGUACACAAGUUCCUCCCUAUUUGAAAGCAGUGAAGAAACAAAAGAAAUACUCAAUUGUUGAGAUAACUGACUCUCCAUUUGGGAAAAAAAAAAAUCACCUGCAUUUGGGUUGGUUUUAAAUUGAGGGAAAGCGACCAUUCAUACUGUAAAAUGUUAUUAAUGUUCUAACAUAUCAAGCCAAUGGACAGUUUCCUGUAUUAGAGCAGAAGCAAUUCCAGUGUAUUUCAACAAAUAUUUCUUUGGUUUCUGGAUCCUUAAAUGGAGAUACAGAUGCUGGUAAUUUUAUGUGUGUCAGGUAAGAGACCAGCAUAUGUGAAAGUUCAUAUCUUCCUGUACCACAGCUGUUUUGUAUUCAGGCCUUUCAAAUAUUUAUAGUACUCAAAGUUCUUUUUCUGUGAAAAGCCCACUCAUGUAUUUUGUCUAUUUUUUUCUCUACUAGGACUUUAAGAAAAUAUUUUUAUUUAGAAAUAAUUACAGAUUUAUAGAAAGUUGAAGAAAUAGUACUAUAGUACUAUUUAGUUUGUGUACCCAUAUCCAGUUUCCCCUAAUGGUAACAUUUUACAUAACUAUAGUAAACAUCAAAUUUGACACUGGCGAUCAACAGACUUUACCAGAGUUCACUGAUUUUAUAUGCACUUGUGUACGUGUGUCUGUGUAGUUCUAUUCAGUUUUAUCUAGUGUAACUUUGUAUAACUACCACCACAAUCAAAAUACAGAACUUGCAACACUAUGGUACCUUGUUCUAUCCCUUUAUGAUCACACCCAUCCUUGUUUCAUCCCCUCGCUCCCCACUCCUAGUCCCUGCCAACUACUACUCUUCUCCAUAAUUUUGUCAUUAUCAGGAGUGUUCUUUAAAUGGAAUCACUAUAUAACCUUUUAAGACUGGCUUUUUUUUCCCCACUAAACAUGAUUCCCUUGAGAUCAAACCCAGUUGUUGUAGGUACAGUUUGUUCUUUUUU